rnacentral:rRNA from 1 species
UAUCGUUUAUUUGAUAGUACUUACUACUUGGAUACCUGUGGUAAUUCUAGAGCUAAUACAUGCUAAAAGCCCCGACUCCGGGAGGGGUGUAUUUAUUAGAUAAAAAACCAAUGCCCUUCGGGGCUACUUGGCGAUUCAUAAUAACUUAACGAAUCGCAUGGCCUUGCGCCGGCGAUGGUUCAUUCAAAUUUCUGCCCUAUCAACUUUCGAUGGUAGGAUAGUGGCCUACCAUGGUGUCUACGGGUAACGGGGAAUUAGGGUUCGAUUCCGGAGAGGGAGCCUGAGAAACGGCUACCACAUCCAAGGAAGGCAGCAGGCGCGCAAAUUACCCAAUCCCGACACGGGGAGGUAGUGACAAUAAAUACUGAUACAGGGCUCUUUCGGGUCUUGUAAUUGGAAUGAGUACAAUUUAAAUCCCUUAACGAGGAACAAUUGGAGGGCAAGUCUGGUGCCAGCAGCCGCGGUAAUUCCAGCUCCAAUAGCGUAUAUUAAAGUUGUUGCAGUUAAAAAGCUCGUAGUUGAAACUUGGGCCUGGCUGGCCGGUCCGCCUCACCGCGUGCACUGGUUUGGCCGGGCCUUUCCUUCUGGGGAACCGCAUGCCCUUAACUGGGUGUGCCGGGGAUUCAGGACUUUUACUUUGAAAAAAUUAGAGUGUUCAAAGCAGGCCUAUGCUCGAAUACAUUAGCAUGGAAUAAUAGAAUAGGACGUGUGGUUCUAUUUUGUUGGUUUCUAGAACCGCCGU